AGUUAAUCCACGACCGCUGUGAGAGAGACACCACACUGCUCCCUCUCCAACAUCACUGACUUUUUCUCCCUUCCCCCCCUCCUCCAGAAGAGGAGAUGGAUUUGUUUUUGUUUACGUGUAGCAGUGAGCGACUGAGAGGAUGGAUGAAGGACGAACCUGCAGUUUAGGCAGACGAGGCGCUGAAGGUGACAGAAGUGUAUACUCAAGUCCACUAGUGUCAUAGGAAGACUGCUGACAAAUCGGAGAACUCGAGACUGACGGAUAGAAAGAAGAAAAAAAAAAAAUUCAAUACUGUCUUACUGCACAAAAAGGAGACGAAAGAAUUUGGAGGGAGCGACUAUAGUAAAACAGGUUCUCUAGACUCUCAAACCAAAACAUACAUAAUAUAAAAGCUGCGACGAUAAACAACAGCAGACAAUAUUACUUCUCGUCUCACAAACACGAAGAAAAAGUAAAUAAAUACAGGAUAUCGAAAAAUCACUAGUUCUUUUGAGAUAAAACUGCAGAUUUUUCCAGAAACAUCUUGCCUUACAAACCGCGCCAUUGAUUCUUAUUUUUCAUACCUGCAGUAAAAAUUUGAAGAAUAAUAGAAGGGUCAAAGGAGCUUAGAUACGUAAAGCCGCACCGCUUCAUCCACUAGUUUAUCGCAAGGCACAACACAAACACAUCAACAACAACAUCCCAAGGCACGGAAAGUGAAUGUAACCUUUUCUAAAUAAAACUUGAAAGCCGAA